GACGAACGCUGGCGGCGUGCUUAACACAUGCAAGUCGAACGGUAAGGCCCUUCGGGGUACACGAGUGGCGAACGGGUGAGUAACACGUGGGUGAUCUGCCCUGCACUUCGGGAUAAGCCUGGGAAACUGGGUCUAAUACCGGAUAGGACCACUGCCUGCAUGGGUGGGGGUGGAAAGCUUUUGCGGUGUGGGAUGGGCCCGCGGCCUAUCAGCUUGUUGGUGGGGUGAUGGCCUACCAAGGCGACGACGGGUAGCCGGCCUGAGAGGGUGACCGGCCACACGGGGACUGGGAUACGGCCCAGACUCCGAGGGGAGGCAGCAGUGGGGAAUAUUGCACAAUGGGCGCAAGCCUGAUGCAGCGACGCCGCGUGAGGGAUGACGGCCUUCGGGUUGUAAACCUCUUUCAGCACCGACGAAGCGCAAGUGACGGUAGGUGCAGAAGAAGGACCGGCCAACUACGUGCCAGCAGCCGCCGUAA
rnacentral:rRNA from 1 species